AAAUGAAUUGACGGGGGCCCGCACAAGCGGAGGAACAUGUGGUUUAAUUCGAUGAUACGCGAGGAACCUUACCCGGGCUUGAAAUGCAUCUGACCGAUCGGGAAACCGAUCUUCUAGCAAUAGCAGAUGCGUAGGUGCUGCAUGGUUGUCGUCAGCUCGUGCCGUGAGGUGUCGGCUUAAGUGCCAUAACGAGCGCAACCCACAUUGUUAGUUACUAACAGGUCAAGCUGAGGACUCUGACAAGACUGCCAGCGUAAGCUGUGAGGAAGGUGUGGAUGACGUCAAAUCAGCACGGCCCUUACGUCCGGGGCGACACACGUGUUACAAUGGGGGGUACAGAGGGUUGCUACUUGGUGACAAGAUGCUAAUCUCGAAAGCCUCUCCCAGUUCGGAUUGGAGUCUGCAACUCGACUCCAUGAAGCUGGAUUCGCUAGUAAUCGCGCAUCAGCCAUGGCGCGGUGAAUACGUUCCCGGGCCUUGUACACACCGCCCGU
rnacentral:rRNA from 1 species